CACACUUGUAAGGCUAACGAGCAUCCCCGUAUAAGAUAAAAAUGGACGUUGGGACUGAGACGAUGUCUGACAGACUCAAGAACUUGCUUAAAAGAUUUUGUACCCCACGGGUACGAAUCAAAAUGACCACUCCCUAUAAGAAAAAAAGUAAAUUUGUCUAUCAAACAAACAUUGUCCUUAUCAGAAGGACAAACAAAGAAUUCCAACAUAUACAAGACACACAACUGUACA
rnacentral:lncRNA from 1 species